rnacentral:lncRNA from 1 species
UCAUUUAUCCUAAAAUCAUUUAAUAACUAUUUUAAUUAUAUUUCAAAAAUAAAGAAUCAAAAUAUUUACAAUCACUAAAGUAAAGUUAAUACGUUGAACAAAAGAGACUCCUAUAGCCAAAACUAUUGAUAUUUUACUACCCAAGCAUAAAUCCUAGUUGGUCAUAACUCUGGACGCUUGUAGAAAACUCUCGCAACAAGUCUCAUACCAGCACAAAAGUAUCUCGAAGCCUCCGACUGCAUACUAUUGUACUUCCUCGCAUUUCUCCUAUUGGGUUGACCAUGACAUUAUUCACUCAAGUAACACUAUAGGUGACGUCC